GUUGCUAUCUUGAGUCAUUUGCCUAAACACCCUAACAUCGUUACAUUGAAGGAUACGUUUGAAGACGACGACCACGUUCAUCUUGUUAUGGAACACUGUGAAGGUGGUAAUCUUUUUGAUCGCAUCAAUGGUAGAGGACAUUUCACCGAUGCUAACCUUUUGGAUCGCAUCAAUGGUAGAGGAC